UCCGGUUGAUCCUGCCGGAGGUCACUGCUAUUGGAGUUCGAUUAAGCCAUGCGAGUCGAGAGGGUUCGGCCCUCGGCAUACUGCUCAGUAACACGUGGAUAAUCUGCCCUUGGGUCAGGGAUAACCUCGAGAAAUUGAGAAUAAUACCUGAUAGUUCUGGAAUGCUGGAACGCUUCCAGAUAGAAAGUUCCGACGCCCAAGGAUGAGUCUGCGGUCUAUUAGGUUGUAGUGAGUGUAACGGACUUACUAGCCUUCGAUGGAUACGGGCCUUGAGAGAGGUAGCCCGGAGAUGGACUCUGAGACACGAGUCCAGGCCCUACGGGGUGCAGCAGGCGCGAAAACUUCACAAUGCGGGAAACCGCGAUGAGGGGACUCCAAGUGCUCGCUUUUGCGGGCUGUACUAGUCCCUAAAAAGGACUAGGAGAAAGAGCUGGGCAAGACUGGUGCCAGCCGCCGCGGUAAUACCAGCAGCUCGAGUGGUGAUCAUUUUUAUUGGGCCUAAAGCGUCCGUAGCCUGAAUGGUAAAUUCUUGAGUAAAUCGAAUAGCUCAACUGUUCGAUCUUGGAGGAGACUGCCAUUCUUGGAACUGGGAGAGGUCAGAAGUACUCUGUGGGUAAGGGUGAAAUCUUAUCAUCCUCAGGGGACUACCAGUGGCGAAGGCGUCUGACUAGAACGGAUUCGACGGUAAGGGACGAAACCCCGGGGAGCGAACCGGAUUAGAUACCCGGGUAGUCCGGGGCGUAAACGCUGUGGGCUUGGUGUUGGGGGUCCUACGUGGGCGCCCAGUGCCGGAGCGAAGUUGUUAAGCCUACCGCCUGGGAAGUACGGUCGCAAGACUGAAACUUAAAGGAAUUGGCGGGGGAGCACUGCAACGGGUGGAGCGUGCGGUUUAAUUGGAUUCAACGCCGGAAAACUCACCGGAGGCGACGAUUACAUGAAGGCCAGGCUGAUGACCUUGCUUAAUUUUUCGAGAGGUGGUGCAUGGCCGCCGUCAGUUCGUUUCGUAAGGUGUUCUGUUAAGUCAGAUAACGAACGAGACCCUUGUUCUUAAUUGCUACUGUUCUUUUCGAAGGGCAGGCACAUUAAGAAAACCGCUGGUGCUAAAUCAGAGGAAGGAAAGGGCAACGGUAGGUCAGUAUGCCCCGAAUCCUCCGGGCUACACGCGCGCUACAAAGGUUGGGACAAUAGGCUCCGACACCGAGAGGUGAAGGCAAUCCGUAAACCCAAUCGUAGUUCGGAUUGAGGACUGUAACUCGUCCUCAUGAAGCUGGAAUCCGUAGUAAUCGCGGGUCAACAUCCCGCGGUGAAUAUGCCCCUGCUCCUUGCACACACCGCCCGUCAAACCAUCUUAAUUGGGUUUAGAUGAGGGCUCAUUUACCUGAUGAGUUCGAAUCUAGGUUCAGUGAGGAGGGUUAAGUCGUAACAAGGUA
rnacentral:rRNA from 1 species